rnacentral:rRNA from 1 species
AACGUAGGACGCAAGCGUUAUCCGGAGUUACUGGGCGUAAAGGGCAGGCAGGCGGGUCGAUAAGUCGGAUGUGAAAUCUCCCUGGCUUAACCGGGAGAGUGCAUUUGAGACUGUCAACCUGGAGGGCAGCAGAGGAGCGUGGAAUUCCGGGUGGAGUGGUGAAAUGCGUAGAGAUCCGGAGGAACACCAGAGGCGAAAGCGGCGCUCUGGGCUGCACCUGACGCUGAACUGCGAAAGCCAGGGGAGCGAACAGG